UAAGAUGGUUUAUAUCUGGUAGCAGGGGAGGGGGGAGGGGUUAGUCUGUUCAGAAAGCCGGUGGACGAAGUAGACUAGUGUCUGAAUUCUGACCAGUUUUCAAAGAUGGGAUGCGCAACGAGCUUCGAUGUGAAGUCAGAGAACCCUCCGACAGACCCUGCAGCUUCUGUUGAUGAGGGGCUGGAGCAAACCGUCGUGGAUGAUUUAGAACAGGUUGCGGACACUAAAACAAACAAACCACAACUUGACUUGCAAGCAGAAAACAUAGAAAAUGCAGAAGAAACAAAGGAAGAGUAAGAAUGUAAGAUGACUUCAGUUUAUGUGCAAGAUGCAGCUGGAUGCCUCUGCUGUGCCUGCUUUUAACCCUAUUGUGAUUGAUAGGCUGUUUCCAUCCCAUCAUACAGAAUUUCCAGAUUCCCAGAGUAGUUCCUGAACAAGUGGACUGGAAAGCUCCCUUGGGAAUAAAAGCGUUAAUAAAAUCUUAAAUGCAAACAUAGCAGAAUAACUGUUAUAAAAUGUCUAUUUAUAUUUAAUAUGCCUUUUGAAAUACAAGAAAAUAUGAAUUCAAAAUAGAAAAUAUAUUUAAAAUAUGCUUUUAACCUGCUUUUCAAAGAUUAACUGUAAUAUAACCCGACAAAAUCCAAACAAAACGAUAAAAUAAAACGCUUUUUGCUUUCUUUCUGAGAUUAAUCAAAGAGCCAUGGGUUUGAAAUAUCAGAAUGUAUUCUUCAUGUUAAGAAUCAACUCAUAUUUUUUUUUUUUUUUUUUUUU